rnacentral:rRNA from 1 species
CUGCCUACGGGACGCAGCAGUGGGGGAUAUUGGACAAUGGGGGAAACCCUGAUCCAGCGACGCCGCGUGAGUGAAGAAGUAUUUCGGUAUGUAAAGCUCUAUCAGCAGGGAAGAAAAUGACGGUACCUGACUAAGAAGCCCCGGCUAACUACGUGCCAGCAGCCGCGGUAAUACGUAGGGGGCAAGCGUUAUCCGGAUUUACUGGGUGUAAAGGGAGCGUAGACGGCAGC